ensembl:lncRNA
GAGAGAGUGCAAAUGAGGGCAAAGAGGGUCCCCAGGGCUGGACUUGUUCAAACCUUAGAAUAACUCACAGGAUCAAGAGGUCUAAAAUAGGAGACAGAGAACAGAACAAAAGCAAAAUCUGGAAGCAAAUUACAGAAAUGUAUUUAGUUUGUUAUUUAGUGAGAUUUUGGCUUGCUGAAAUGUCUGUAUAAGCAUUAUUAUCGAUAUAUUUGAUAAUGAGUGCCAUGCUUAGCCUACUAAUGAGUAUAAUUAAUGUAGAUCAUGCCUAUUUGGGAGUGAAGCCUGGCAUCUUCUUUUUGGAAGACUAAAGGUUUUAGUAAAAGUAGAAAUUCUGUUUUGUCUAGUAUCAAUGCUAUCAACCAAAAUUAAGGGAGUAUAAAAUAGCUAGCUAGAUAACUGAGGCUUAGUGAUGUAACUGGAUGAUUUAGUGGUUUAGAAUUUGUUGGGUUUUGGAUUUAUAGUGCCUGGGUUCAAAUCUUGGAAUUCCUACCUGAGGAACUUCAGCUGGAGUAAGGUGAAUCAUAACCAUCUGUUGUAAAUGGAAGAAUGGCCCCGGGGAAAAACAAUGUGGAACAGUGGGAAGGAGAAUGGAAAAUAGAAGCAAGCUGAUCCCUUGGUUGCUUCCUGUAAGAGAUUAAAGAGGAGGGAAAGAAAACAAGAGAAGAUGAGAGGACCCAGACAACCUCAGUGAAACAGAAUGGUGACAUAAGAGAGGAGAAAAAGUAUUGGUUUUCAUUUCAAGACAGGUAUGUACUGUUAUUACCAUCAUUUUAUGAUAAGAAGACUGAAUCUCAGAGAUCACUCUGAGGCCAAACAGUCCAGCUUCACAUUAUAAGUGAAAGUUCAUUAUGACCUAAUCCUGACCUAUCAGAGAACAAAACCACAAGAGAAUGAAUUUAUACCAUCUCUUGGCAAAAAUGGGAUCAAGGAUGAUAAGGCAAGAAGGCCCUUGCUUAUGCUGACACUGUGAACUUGGACUUUGAAGACUCCAGAACUGAGG